CCUACGGGGGGCUGCAGUAAGGAAUAUUGCACAAUGGGGGAAACCCUGAUGCAGCAACGCCGCGUGGGCGAAGAAGGCCUUCGGGUUGUAAAGCCCUUUUCUAUGGGAAGAGCAAGGACGGUACCAUAGGAACAAGUCUCGGCUAACUACGUGCCAGCAGCCGCGGUAAGACGUAGGAGGCGAGCGUUAUCCGGAUUUAUUGGGCGUAAAGGGCAAGUAGGCGGUAGACCAAGUUGGGUGUGACAUCUCCCGGCUUAACUGGGAGGGAGCGUUCAAAACUAGUCUACUUGAGGGCAGGAGAAGGGGGUGGAACUUCUAGUGUAGCGGUGGAAUGCUCAGAUACUAGGAAGAACACCAGUGGCGAAAGCGGCCCCCUAAUCUGUACCUGACGCUGAGAGGCGAAAGCUAGGGGAGCGAACGGGCUUAGAUACCCGGGUAGUC
rnacentral:rRNA from 1 species